rnacentral:rRNA from 1 species
GAUGAACGCUGGCUGCGUGCCUAAUACAUGCAAGUCGAGCGACCACACGAGGAGCUUGCUCCUCUGACGUUAGCGGCCGACGGGUGAGUGACAAAUGGAUAACCUACCUAUCGAACUGGGGUAACUACCGUAACCCAGGGCUAAUACCGAAUAAUAUAUUUAACCGCAUGGUUCAGUAGUAAAAUUCAGUAUUUCUGUCACUUGUAGAGGAUUCGUCGCCGCAUUAGGUAGUUGGUAAGGUAACGGCUUACCAAGGCGACGGUGCGUAGCCGACCUGGGAGGGUGAUCGGCCACACCGGAACUGAGACACGGCACAGACUACUCCGGGAGGCAGCAGUAGGGAAUCUUCCGCAAUGGGCGAAAGCCUGACGUAGCAACGCCGAGUGAGGGAUGAAGGUCUUCGGAUCUUAAAACUCUGUUAUUAGGGAAGAACAAAUGUGUAAGUAACUAUGCACGUCUUGACGGUACCUUAUCAGAAAGCCACGGCUAACUACGUG